AGGCAAUAGAUACCCAGGUAGUCCACGCCGUAAACGAUGAAUGCUAGCUGUUAGAAGUAUCGACCCUUCUAGUAGCGAAAGCUAACGCGUUAAGCAUUCCGCCUGUGGAGUACGGUCGCAAGACUAAAACAUAAAGGAAUUGACGGGGACCCGCACAAGCGGUGGAGCGUGUUCUUUAAUUCGAAGGUAAGCGAAGAACCUUACCAAGGUUUGACAUCCCGGUAGCCGUUUUCCGAAAGGAGAACUUCAUUUAGUUGGACCGGUGACAGGUGUUGCAUGGCCGUCGUCAGCUCGUGUCGUGAGAUGUUUGGUUAAGUCCAUCAACGAGCGCAACCCUUAUAGUUAGUUGGAUUUCUCUAGCUAGACUGCCCCGGUAACGGGGAGGAAGGAGGGAUGAUGUCAGGUCAGUAUACCCUUACACCUUGGGCUAGAAACACGCUACAAUGGCCAGUAC
rnacentral:rRNA from 1 species